GGGGAUGUAGCUUAGUGGUAGAGUGCCUGCCUAACAUGCAUGAGGCCCUGGAUUUGAUUGCAGCACCCCA
rnacentral:tRNA from 1 species